CCUAGCCAGCCGCGCCUCGCAGCAAUGCCUCCCAGCAGCGUCGGACCAGCCACCCAGUAGCGCCGGACCAGCCCCUUCCAGCAUGCAGCACCUCCCAACACCGAACACCAGAUAUGGAGGAUCCAACUCAUCCAAGUCAGGGCAGCACAACAGACAGCACCCACGAUCAACACAGCACCUUGCCACUUCCACCCAGCAGCCGAUUCAAGUGAAUAUGGAGCCCGAGCCAUCUAUUCAGGUUUGGGGCUGAUGUGAUGGAAGUAGUUGCAUCUUGGACAAAAGCCUUGUGCGUUGACAUCUCUCAAGGCGGCAUACCAAAUCAUGUUGAUGAUGUCAAAGCUGAAGCUAGUGACUUAGGAAAUAAAGUUUUAUCUAAUUGGAGUGUACUUCACAUUAGGACAGGCAAUGGUUUCCUUCUCCAAGAAUUAGCUAAACAGGGUAUGGUAUUUCUUGUGAUGUUCUGCACUUUUAGUAAUAUAUGCUGUAUAAUUCUUUUAUAUAAAAAAAGAGAAAAGAAAGACUUUGUAAAAGUUAGCAAAUUUCUGAAUUACUAUUUAUUAUAACAAAAUGUGUAUUGUUGGAAAUCGGAA